rnacentral:rRNA from 1 species
UACGAAGGGAGCUAGCGUUGUUCGGAAUUACUGGGCGUAAAGGGCGCGUAGGCGGGUUUCCAAGUCGGGGGGUGAAAUUCCAGGGCUCAACCCUGGGACGGCCUUCGAUACUGGGAGCCUGGAGAUCGGGAGAGGUGAGUGGAAUUCCGAGUGUAGAGGUGAAAUUCGUAGAUAUUCGGAGGAACACCAGAAGCGAAGGCGGCUCACUGGCCCGAGACGUGACGCUGAGGCGCGAAAGCGUGGGGAGCAACAGG